GCACUGCCGGGGAGUCCCACAAUAGGACGAAACGGCCGUCCAGUGC
rnacentral:hammerhead_ribozyme from 1 species